rnacentral:rRNA from 1 species
AUACGGGAGUGGCAAGCGUUAUCCGGAAUUAUUGGGCGUAAAGCGUCCGCAGGCGGCCCUUCAAGUCUGCUGUUAAAAAGUGGAGCUUAACUCCAUCAUGGCAGUGGAAACUGUUGGGCUUGAGUGUGGUAGGGGCAGAGGGAAUUCCCGGUGUAGCGGUGAAAUGCGUGGAUAUCAGGAGGAACAUCAAUGGCGAAGGCAACUUACUGGACAUUUACUGACGCUCAGACACGAAGGCUAGGGUAGCGAAAGGGAUUAGAUACCCCUGUAGUCCUAGCAGUAAACGGUGCUCGCUUGGUGUGGGAGGAUUCGACCCCUUCUGUGCCGGAGCUAACGCGUUAAGCGAGCCGCCUGGGAAGUACGGUCGCAAGACUAAAACUCAAAGAAAUUGACGGGGCUCACACAAGCGGUGGAGGAUGUGGCUUAAUUCGAGGCUACGCGAAGAACCUUAUCCUAGUCUUGACAUGUAUGGAUUAACCCUGUGAAAGCAGGGCCACGCCUUCGGGUGGAACAUACAC